AACGAACGCUGGCGGCAUGCCUAACACAUGCAAGUCGAACGAGACCUUCGGGUCUAGUGGCGCACGGGUGCGUAACGCGUUGGAACCUGCCCUUAGGUUCGGAAUAACUCCCCGAAAGGGGUGCUAAUACCGGAUAAUGUCUUCGGACCAAAGAUUUAUCGCCUUUGGAUGGGCCCGCGUUUGAUUAGCUAGUUGGUAGGGUAAAAGCCUACCAAGGCGACGAUCCAUAGCUGGUCUGAGAGGAUGAUCAGCCACACUGGGACUGAGACACGGCCCAGACUCCUACGGGAGGCAGCAGUGGGGAAUAUUGGACAAUGGGCGAAAGACUGAUCCAGCAAUGCCGCGUGAGUGAUGAAGGCCUUAGGGUUGUAAAGCUCUUUUACCCGGGAUGAUAAUGACAGUACCGGGAGAAUAAGCACCGGCUAACUCCGUG
rnacentral:rRNA from 1 species